UGACCUGUGGCUGGGGGUGAAAGGCCAAUCAAACCGGGAGAUAGCUGGUUCUCCCCGAAAGCUAUUUAGGUAGCGCCUCGUGAAUUCAUCUCCGGGGGUAGAGCACUGUUUCGGCUAGGGGGCCAUCCCGGCUUACCAACCCGAUGCAAACUGCGAAUACCGGAGAAUGUUAUCACGGGAGACACACGGCGGGUGCUAACGUCCGUCGUGAAGAGGGAAACAACCCAGACCGCCAGCUAAGGUCCCAAAGUCAUGGUUAAGUGGGAAACGAUGUGGGAAGGCCCAGACAGCCAGGAUGUUGGCUUAGAAGCAGCCAUCAUUUAAAGAAAGCGUAAUAGCUCACUGGUCGAGUCGGCCUGCGCGGAAGAUGUAACGGGGCUAAACCAUGCACCGAAGCUGCGGCAGCGACACUGUGUGUUGUUGGGUAGGGGAGCGUUCUGUAAGCCUG
rnacentral:rRNA from 1 species